rnacentral:rRNA from 1 species
UGGGGGAUAUUGCACAAUGGGCGAAAGCCUGAUGCAGCGACGCCGCGUGGGGGAUGAAGGCUUUCGGGUUGUAAACCUCUUUCGCUAUCGAACAAGGCCCGCUUAGGGUGGGUUGAGGGUAGGUGGAGAAGAAGCGCCGGCUAACUACGUGCCAGCAGCCGCGGUAAUACGUAGGGCGCGAGCGUUGUCCGGAAUUAUUGGGCGUAAAGGGCUUGUAGGCGGCUUGUUGCGCCUGCUGUGAAAACGCGGGGCUUAACUUCGCGCGUGCAGUGGGUACGGGCAGGCUUGAGUGUGGUAGGGGUGACUGGAAUUCCAGGUGUAGCGGUGGAAUGCGCAGAUAUUUGGAGGAACACCGAUGGCGAAGGCAGGUCACUGGGCCAUUACUGACGCUGAGGAGCGAAAGCAUGGGUAGCCAACAGG